rnacentral:rRNA from 1 species
CCUACGGGUGGCAGCAGUGAGGAAUAUUGGUCAAUGGACGAGAGUCUGAACCAGCCAAGUAGCGUGAAGGAUGACUGCCCUAUGGGUUGUAAACUUCUUUUAUAUGGGAAUAAAAUGUUCCACGUGUGGGAUUUUGUAUGUACCAUAUGAAUAAGGAUCGGCUAACUCCGUGCCAGCAGCCGCGGUAAUACGGAGGAUCCGAGCGUUAUCCGGAUUUAUUGGGUUUAAAGGGAGCGUAGGUGGAUUGUUAAGUCAGUUGUGAAAGUUUGCGGCUCAACCGUAAAAUUGCAGUUGAGACUGGCAGUCGUGAGUACAGUAGAGGUGGGCGGAAUUCGUGGUGUAGCGGUGAAAUGCUUAGAUAUCACGAAGAACUCCGAUUGCGAAGGCAGCUCACUGGACUGCAACUGACACUGAGGCUCGAAAGUGUGGGUAUCAAACAGGAUUAGAGACCCCAGUAGUC